rnacentral:rRNA from 1 species
UAGGGAAUCUUCGGCAAUGGACGAAAGUCUGACCGAGCAACGCCGCGUGAGUGAAGAAGGUUUUCGGAUCGUAAACACUGUUGUAAGAGAAGAAUGACAUUGAGAGUAACUGUUCAAUGUGUGACGGUAUCUUACCAGAAAGGAACGGCUAAAUACGUGCCAG